GUCGUAACAAGGUCUCCGUUGGUGAACCAGCGGAGGGAUCAUUACUGAGUUUACGCUCUAUAACCCUUUGUGAACAUACCUAUAACUGUUGCUUCGGCGGGUAGGGUCUCCGCGACCCUCCCGGCCUCCCGCCUCCGGGCGGGUCGGCGCCCGCCGGAGGAUAACCAAACUCUGAUUUAACGACGUUUCUUCUGAGUGGUACAAGCAAAUAAUCAAAACUUUUAACAACGGAUCUCUUGGUUCUGGCAUCGAUGAAGAACGCAGCGAAAUGCGAUAAGUAAUGUGAAUUGCAGAAUUCAGUGAAUCAUCGAAUCUUUGAACGCACAUUGCGCCCGCCAGCAUUCUGGCGGGCAUGCCUGUUCGAGCGUCAUUUCAACCCUCAAGCUCUGCUUGGUGUUGGGGCCCUACAGCUGAUGUAGGCCCUCAAAGGUAGUGGCGGACCCUCCCGGAGCCUCCUUUGCGUAGUAACUUUACGUCUCGCACUGGGAUCCGGAGGGACUCUUGCCGUAAAACCCCCCAAUUUUCCAAAGGUUGACCUCGGAUCAGGUAGGAAUACCCGCUGAACUUAAGCAUAUCAAUAAGCGGAGGAAAAGAAACCAACAGGGAUUGCCUCAGUAACGGCGAGUGAAGCGGCAACAGCUCAAAUUUGAAAUCUGGCCCUAGGCCCGAGUUGUAAUUUGCAGAGGAUGCUUUGGGUGCGGUGCCUUCCAAGUUCCCUAGAACGGGACGCCAGAGAGGGUGAGAGCCCCGUACAGUUGGACACCAAGCCUUUGUAAAGCUCCUUCGACGAGUCGAGUAGUUUGGGAAUGCUGCUCAAAAUGGGAGGUAUAUUUCUUCUAAAGCUAAAUACCGGCCAGAGACCGAUAGCGCACAAGUAGAGUGAUCGAAAGAUGAAAAGCACUUUGAAAAGAGGGUUAAACAGCACGUGAAAUUGUUAAAAGGGAAGCGCUUGUGACCAGACUUGCGUCCGGUGAAUCACCCAGCUCUCGCGGCUGGGGCACUUCGCCGGCUCAGGCCAGCAUCAGCUCGCUGUCGGGGACAAAAGCUUCAGGAACGUAGCUCUCUUCGGGGAGUGUUAUAGCCUGUUGCAUAAUACCCUUCGGCGGGCUGAGGUACGCGCUCCGCAAGGAUGCUGGCAUAAUGGUCAUCAGCGACCCGUCU
rnacentral:rRNA from 1 species